UUCUCCUUCAAGGCAUACUCAACCUCAAGAAAACCCCAGAAGGAGACAACAUGGUGUGGUAGCAUGUGCAACAGCCAUGUUCCAGCAGAGAUCUAUCACCAGUGCCUUGGUUUCUCCCGCUACUAAAGGACAGUGGAGCAAUGUCAGGAGUGUGGGAAAUUUGGAAAUGAACUGCUGAGCCUGGAAGAAGCAAGCCAAGAGCUGUCAAAAAGUAGGGAAAGCCUGCCUGGACUGUCUCCAAAGAGAUUUGAGACUAAGAGGACCAAAGCCAUCUCAGUACGUCGCUGGAAUGAACUUGCAGCAUGGCAGCGUGCCCAGGCAGCUCGUUGCUCUGGCGCUGCAGUGGAGCUGGAAAAGGCAGGGAGGGGAUACGGGAGCACAGCUCUGUCCUUGCCACGGCUGGAGGCUCCCUGACCAUCGCUCUCUUCAGCCAGCACAGCCCCACUGCGGCUCCUGCCCGUGGGGCUGCACAGCCACGGCACAGAAUGAAACCUCCCUCACGCCCUGUAGCAUUCUGCAAAUCUACUGAAAGACCAGCAGUACCUCGUGAGGAGCUAACUGGGGAAUGUCAACCGGACAUAGCGGUGCUAAAGUCAAAAGUCAGCAUCUUGCAAAGGGCUAAGGCCUCCCUGCCACAAGGUAAUGAUGAGACAAGACCACACUCUGAAGCUAUUUUGUCAACUGGGGCAAAAGAUGAGGCAUCAAUGUUUUGACCACUGUUGUCAGCCGAGUAUUUUCUUCUAAUGUAGUUAUGAUCUUAUUAUCAGCCAAAAUCUGCUAUAUCCUUGCCAUGCUUUAAGAUCUCUUUUGAACAUUAUUCUGUACUAUUAAAAUAAAUUUCUU
rnacentral:lncRNA from 1 species